rnacentral:rRNA from 1 species
AACGAACGCUGGCGGCAGGCCUAACACAUGCAAGUCGAACGCUCCGCAAGGGAGUGGCGCACGGGUGAGUAACACGUGGGAACCUACCUUCUGGUACGGAACAACCAAGGGAAACUUUGGCUAAGACCGUAUACGACCUCCGGGUGAAAGAUUGAUCGCCGGAAGAGGGGCCCGCGUCCGAUUAGGUAGUUGGUGAGGUAACGGCUCACCAAGCCUUCGAUCGGUAGCUGGUCUGAGAGGAUGACCAGCCACACUGGGACUGAGACACGGCCCAGACUCCUACGGGAGGCAGCAGUGGGGAAUAUUGGACAAUGGGCGCAAGCCUGAUCCAGCCAUGCCGCGUGCGGGAAGAA